CGUGGGGGGCGCGGGCGAAGUUCGUCCGCCGGACUCGGAAUGGGGCGAGACUUUGCAAAGGGCCUCGGGGUGCCUGCAGGAAGUCGCGGGCACAGCCGCGUCCAGAAAUAAGCACCCGAAGGUCGUGGUGCCAAAACCCCCCAGCGGAAAAAUGGCCAAAAAACAGGUGGGCUAUAGCCUUGGUGGGGGGCGCGGGCGAAGUUCGUCCGCCGGACUCGGAAUGGGGCGAGACAUUGCGCGGGGCCUCGGGGCGCCAAAAAUAAGCCGCGGGCAAUGCCGCGCCCAAAAAUAAGCGCCCGAAGGUCGUGGUGCCAAAACCCCCCAGCUGAAAAAUGGCCAAAAAACGGGUGGGCUAUAGCCUAAGUGGGGGGCGCGGGCGAAGUUCGUCCGCCGGAGUCGGAAUGGGGCGAGACUUUGCGAGGGGCCUCGGGGUGCCAAAAAUAAGCCGCGGGCAAAGCCGCGCCCAAAAAUAAGCGCCCAAAGGUCGUGGUGCCAAAACCCCCCAGCGGAAAAAUGGCCAAAAAACGGGUGGGCUAUAGCCUUGGUGGGGGGCGUGGGCGAAGUUCGUCCGCGGGACUCGGAA
rnacentral:lncRNA from 1 species